rnacentral:lncRNA from 1 species
GAGAGCCCCCACAUGCCGAAUUCCUAGUCCAAGGGAGUCAAAACUUCCAAUGUUGCGGUGGCAGGUACACGUGCUCACCCCUGUGUUGAGCGAGUCUAUGUCGGGCGAUAUCCUGGCUUCUCCUGACACAUUGGACAUCUUCUGUGAUCAAAGUAUGAGCGUCUCUCGAAGAAAGCAGAGACUGAAGGUCAGACACUCCGCUCUGUGCAGCAGAUCGAGUUGGAGCAAUGUGGCAGUGAAGCUUAUUCGGAUAUUACUGUCCAGAUCACACCAUCCGAGAAGAUGUUUGAUUUCGACAUAUUCUGCACAACUCCUC